CAGUCGCCACGGGAAUACGGAGGGUGCAAGCGUUAAUCGGAAUUACUGGGCGUAAAGCGCACGCAGACGGUUUGUUAAGUCAGAUGUGAAAUCCCCGAGCUUAACUUGGGAACUGCAUUUGAAACUGGCAAGCUAGAGUCUUGUAGAGGGGGGUAGAAUUCCAGGUGUAGCGGUGAAAUGCGUAGAGAUCUGGAGGAAUACCGGUGGCGAAGGCGGCCCCCUGGACAAAGACUGACGCUCAGGUGCGAAAGCGUGGGGAGCAAACAGGAUUAGAUACCCGGGUAGUCCCUGUCUCUUAUAA
rnacentral:rRNA from 1 species